rnacentral:rRNA from 1 species
AUUGAACGCUGGCGGCAUGCCUUACACAUGCAAGUCGAACGGCAGCACGGGAGCAAUCCUGGUGGCGAGUGGCGAACGGGUGAGUAAUACAUCGGAACGUGCCCAAUCGUGGGGGAUAACGCAGCGAAAGCUGUGCUAAUACCGCAUACGAUCUACGGAUGAAAGCAGGGGAUCGCAAGACCUUGCGCGAAUGGAGCGGCCGAUGGCAGAUUAGGUAGUUGGUGAGGUAAAGGCUCACCAAGCCGUCGAUCUGUAGCUGGUCUGAGAGGACGACCAGCCACACUGGGACUGAGACACGGCCCAGACUCCUACGGGAGGCAGCAGUGGGGAAUUUUGGACAAUGGGCGAAAGCCUGAUCCAGCCAUGCCGCGUGCAGGAUGAAGGCCUUCGGGUUGUAAACUGCUUUUGUACGGAACGAAACGGCCUUUUCUAAUAAAGAGGGCUAAUGACGGUACCGUAAGAAUAAGCACCGGCUAACUACGUGCCAGCAGCCGCGGUAAUACGUAGGGUGCAAGCGUUAAUCGGAAUUACUGGGCGUAAAGCGUGCGCAGGCGGUUAUGUAAGACAGUUGUGAAAUCCCCGGGCUCAACCUGGGAACUGCAUCUGUGACUGCAUAGCUAGAGUACGGUAGAGGGGGAUGGAAUUCCGCGUGUAGCAGUGAAAUGCGUAGAUAUGCGGGGGAACACCGAUGGCGAAGGCAAUCCCCUGGACCUGUACUGACGCUCAUGCACGAAAGCGUGGGGAGCAAACAGG